rnacentral:piRNA from 1 species
UUAUAAUGCCUUGACCUUUAUUGUGGUCAAAU